GAUGAACGCUGGCGGCGUGCUUAACACAUGCAAGUCGAACGAAGCACUUAGACGGAAGUUUUCGGACGGAAGAUUAAGUGACUGAGUGGCGGACGGGUGAGUAACGCGUGGGCAACCUGCCUCAUACAAGGGGAUAACAGUUAGAAAUAGCUGCUAAUACCGUAUAAGCUUACGGUACCGCAUGGUACAGUAAGAAAAACUCCGGUGGUAUGAGAUGGGCCCGCGUCUGAUUAGCUAGUUGGUAAGGUAACGGCUUACCAAGGCGACGAUCGGGAGCCGGACUGAGAGGUGGAACGGCCAACUUGGGACUGGGACACGGCCCAGGCUCCUACGGGAGGCAGCAGUGGGGGAUAUUGCACAAUGGGGGAAACCCUGAUGCAGCGACGCCGCGUGAAGGAAGAAGGGUUUCGGCUCGUAAACUUCUAUCAACAGGGAAGAAAUAAAUGACGGUACCUGAAUAAGAAGCCCCGGCUAACUACGUGCCAGCAGCCGCAGUAACAC
rnacentral:rRNA from 1 species